GUGAACGCUGGCGGUAGGCCUAACACAUGCAAGUCGAACGGCAGCACAGUAAGAGCUUGCUCUUACGGGUGGCGAGUGGCGGACGGGUGAAGAAUACAUCGGAAUCUACUUUUUCGUGGGGGAUAACGUAGGGAAACUUACGCUAAUACCGCAUACGACCUACGGGUGAAAGCAGGGGAUCUUCGGACCUUGCGCGAUUGAAUGAGCCGAUGUCGGAUUAGCUAGUUGGCGGGGUAAAGGCCCACCAAGGCGACGAUCCGUAGCUGGUCUGAGAGGAUGAUCAGCCACACUGGAACUGGGACACGGUCCAGACUCCUACGGGAGGCAGCAGUGGGGAAUAUUGGACAAUGGGCGCAAGCCUGAUCCAGCCAUACCGCGUGGGUGAAGAAGGCCUUCGGGUUGUAAAGCCCUUUUGUUGGGAAAGAAAAGCAGCAGGUUAAUACCCCGCUGUUCUGACGGUACCCAAAGAAUAAGCACCGGCUAACUUCGUG
rnacentral:rRNA from 1 species